GGCGAUUCUCGGGUGUCGCACCCUGGAAUCAGGCUCCCUCCACUCUGGUUCUGGGUGCAUCACACGAAAACCUCA
rfam:Myotis davidii contig130865, whole genome shotgun sequence.